UAUGUACGAUUUUACUUUUAGGUAAUUAUCAACAGGCUAUUUACUAUUAUUGGAAAGCAUUAAGAGUAUCACCCAGUCACUACGACGCAAUUAUUGGAACUGCAAAUGUAUUACGGAAAUUUGGCCAAAAAUCAAGACUUUUUCAAUUACUUACAAGAUGGCAGUUAAUAAGGAAAGGCAAGGCUCUCUUAAAAGUGCACGUAUAUUUGCAAGAGUGGCAGCUCAGAACAGAGCUAAACAUAAGAGCGAAGGAAUAUGACAGCAGUAUUAUAUAU
rnacentral:lncRNA from 1 species